UUUGACGUUACCUACAGAAGAAGCACCGGCUAACUCCGUGCCAGCAGCCGCGGUAAUACGGAGGGUGCGAGCGUUAAUCGGAAUUACUGGGCGUAAAGCGCAUGCAGGCGGCCUGUUAAGUCAGAUGUGAAAGACCCGGGGCGUUAACCUCGGAAUUGCAUUUGAAACUGGCAGGCUAGAGUCUUGUAGAGGGGGGUAGGAAUUUCAGGUGUAGCGGUGAAAUAGCGUAGAGAUCUGAAGGAAUACCAGUGGCGAAGGCGGCCCCCUCGGACAAAGACUGACGCUCAGAUGCGAAAGCGUGGGGAGCAAACAGGAUUAGAUACCCUGGUAG
rnacentral:rRNA from 1 species